rnacentral:rRNA from 1 species
UACGUAGGGGGCAAGCGUUGUCCGGAAUCAUUGGGCGUAAAGAGCGUGUAGGCGGCCAGAUAAGUCCGCUGUGAAAUCUCAAGGCUCAACUUCGAGCUGUCGGUGGAAACUGUCUGGCUAGAGUCCGGAAGAGGAGAAUGGAAUUCCUGGUGUAGCGGUGAAAUGCGCAGAUAUCAGGAAGAACACCCGUGGCGAAGGCGGUUCUCUGGGACGGUACUGACGCUGAGACGCGAAAGCGUGGGGAGCGAACAGG